AAGUCGUAACAAGGUAACCGUAGGUGAACCUGCGGUUGGAUCAUUAAAAAAUCUAGGGUGGGUCAACCAAAAAUUGGCCCUACUCCAACAUUUUGUGAACUGUUUAUUGUCUCUUGUGGGCUCUUGUGUCGGCUUUGGCCACGCAUCCCACAGUUUGAACCUAAUAUUAAUUCUUGCCUUUAAAUUGCUUUUAUAAUUAAAAACAACUUUUGACAACGGAUCUCUAGGCUCUC
rnacentral:misc_RNA from 1 species